rnacentral:rRNA from 1 species
UACGGGGGGGGCAAGCGUUGUUCGGAAUUACUGGGCGUAAAGGGCUCGUAGGCGGCCAACUAAGUCCGACGUGAAAUCCCCAGGCUUAACCUGGGAACUGCGUCGGAUACUGGAUGGCUUGAAUCCGGGAGAGGGAUGCGGAAUUCCAGGUGUAGCGGUGAAAUGCGUAGAUAUCUGGAGGAACACCGGUGGCGAAGGCGGCAUCCUGGACCGGCAUUGACGCUGAGGAGCGAAAGCUAGGGGAGCAAACGGGAUUGAGAAACCCCA